rnacentral:rRNA from 1 species
AACGAACGCUGGCGGCAGGCUUAACACAUGCAAGUCGAACGGUUGUAGCAAUACAGCAGUGGCGCACGGGUGAGUAACGCGUGGAUAUCUGCCUUUUGGUUCGGAAUAACUCCGGGAAACUGGAGCUAAUACCGGAAGGUUCCUACGGGAUAAAGAUUUAUCGCCAAAAGAUGAGUCCGCGUACGAUUAGCUAGUUGGUGGGGUAAUGGCCCACCAAGGCGACGAUCGUUAGCUGGUCUGAGAGGACGAUCAGCCACACUGGGACUGAGACACGGCCCAGACUCCUACGGGAGGCAGCAGUGGGGAAUAUUGGACAAUGGGGGCAACCCUGAUCCAGCCAUGCCGCGUGAGUGAUGAAGGCCUUCGGGUUGUAAAGCUCUUUUGGCGGGGACGAUGAUGACGGUACCCGCAGAAUAAGCCCCGGCUAACUUCGUGCCAGCAGCCGCGGUAA